ACCUCUAGCAUCACUAGUAUUAGAGGCACUGCCUGCCCAGUGACACACGUUUAACGGCCGCGGUACCCUGACCGUGCAAAGGUAGCAUAAUCACUUGUUCUUUAAAUGGGGACUCGUAUGAAUGGCACCACGAGGGUUUAACUGUCUCUUACUUUCAACCAGUGAAAUUGACCUGUCCGUGAAGAGACGGACAUGAAGCAAUAAGACGAGAAGACCCUGUGGAGCUUCAAUUUAUUAGUACAACUAAAAACCGUACAAACCAACAGGCCCUAAACCCCUACAUCUGUACUAAAAAUUUUGGUUGGGGCGACCUCGGAGCACAACUAAACCUCCGAAUAAUCCACGCUAAGACUAUACAAGUCAAAGCAAGCUGACACUUACAAUUGACCCAAUAAUUUGAUCAACGGAACAAGUUACCCCAGGGAUAACAGCGCAAUUCUAUUCUAGAGUCCAUAUCAACAAUAGAGUUUACGACCUCGAUGUUGGAUCAGGACAUCCUGAUGGUGCAGCAACUAUCAAG
rnacentral:rRNA from 1 species